rnacentral:rRNA from 1 species
GACGAAGGGGGCUAGCGUUGUUCGGAAUUACUGGGCGUAAAGCGCGUGUAGGCGGUUGCCCAAGUCGGGUGGGAAAGCCUUGAGCUCAACUCAAGAAAUGCACUCGGUACUGGGUGACUAGAGGACCGGAGAGGAUAGUGGAAUUCCCAGUGUAGUGGUGAAAUACGUAGAGAUUGGGAAGAACACCGGUGGCGAAAGCGCUCUGCUGAGCCAUAACUGACACUCAGGGACGAAAGCUAGGAGAGCGAAUGGG